GAUGGCUCAGUGGGUAAAGUGCUUGUUAUGUGAGCAAGAGGGCCUGAGUUCAAAUCCCAGUC
rnacentral:tRNA from 1 species